rnacentral:rRNA from 1 species
GAUACGGCCAUAUCUACUGAAAACCACCGGAACCCAUCAGAACUCCGAAGUUAAACCAGUAUGAGCGUAAUCAGUACUAAGAAGGGAGA